GCUGAGCAGGCCCUACUGUCGGGAGAAGGAGCUGAGCAGGCCCUACUGUCGGGAGAAGGAGGUGAGCAGGCCCUACUGUCGGGAAAAGGAGCUGAGCAGGCCCUACUGUCGGGAAAAGGAGCUGAGCAGGCCCUACUGUCGGGAGAAGGAGCUGAGCAGGCCCUACUGUCGGGAAAAGGAGCUGAGCAGGCCCUACUGUCGGGAGAAGGAGGUGAACAGGCCCUACUGUCGGGAGAAGGCCCUACUGUCGGGAAAAGGAGCUGAGCAGGCCCUACUGUCGGGAGAAGGAGCUGAGCAGGCCCUACUGUCGGGAGAAGGAGCUGAGCAGGCCCUACUGUCGGGAGAAGGAGGUGAGCAGGCCCUACUGUCGGGAGAAGGAGGUGAAGAAGGCCCUACUGUCGGGAGAAGGAGGUGAGCAGGCCCUACUGUCGGGAGAAGGAGGUGAAGAAGGCCCUACUGUCGGGAGAAGGAGGUGAAGAAGGCCCUACUGUCGGGAGAAGGAGGUGAAGAAGGCCCUACUGUCGGGAGAAGGAGCUGAGCAGGCCCUACUGUCGGGAGAAGGAGGUGAAGAAGGCCCUACUGUCGGG